rnacentral:rRNA from 1 species
AGUGAACGCUGGCGGCGUGCCUAAUACAUGCAAGUCGAACGGAGUGGCGAACGGGUGAGUAAUAUAUAGCUAAUCUGCCCCUUGCUGGAGGACAACAGUUAGAAAUGACUGCUAAUACUCCAUAGCAAGGGAGGAGACUAUAUCGUAUCAGCUAGUCGGUGGGGUAACGGCCUACCGAGGCUAUGACGCGUAACUGGUCUGAGAGGAUGAGCAGUCACAUUGGAAUUGACACACGGUCCAAACUCCUACAGGAGGCAGUAGUAGGGAAUAGUGCGACAUGGGGGAAACCCUGACGAAGCAACGCCGCGUGGAGGAUGACACUUUUCUGAGCGUAAACUCCUUUUGUUAGGGAAGCGGUACCUAACGAAUAAGCACCGGCUAACUCCGUGGCAGCAGCCGCGGUAAUUC